rnacentral:rRNA from 1 species
AACGCGAAGAACCUUACCUGGCCUUGACAUCUGUCGAAUCUUGCAGAGAUGCAGGAGUGCCUUCGGGAACGACAAGACAGGUGCUGCAUGGCUGUCGUCAGCUCGUGUCGUGAGAUGUUGGGUUAAGUCCCGCAACGAGCGCAACCCUUGUCCUUAGUUGCCAUCAUUAAGUUGGGAACUCUAAGGAGACCGCCGGUGACAAACCGGAGGAAGGUGGGGAUGACGUCAAGUCAUCAUGGCCUUUAUGGCCAGGGCUACACACGUGCUACAAUGGCAGGUACAGAGGGAAGCCAACUCGCGAGAGGGAGCCAAUCCCAGAAAGCCUGUCGUAGUCCGGAUCGGAGUCUGCAACUCGACUCCGUGAAGUCGGAAUCGCUAGUAAUCGCAGAUCAGCAUUGCUGCGGUGAAUACGUUCCCGGGCCUUGUA